CAAGCAUUCAUAGGAGAACAAAGGAACACAAUAAAAUCAUAGAAAAACUACACACAAAGACUGACAAUGUCAAGUCAAACUUGAGUUUCUAGAAAGUAUUGGGACCUAGAGGCAAAAGAAGAUAAAACUUUAAAGUAAUAGCGUGAAUCCACUGAUAGACCAGACAGAACCCACUGCCUGAGUGCUGCUUCUGCCCAGAACAUUGGGGGAACCCUGCAGCAUUACAGCGGCAGUCCGGGAGCAGUGUUGGAAUCUGCGGUAAGAUGCCGAACUUUAAGUAACUUUAGAGACUGUUUCAUGGAAAGCAGCACUGCUGUCACUGCAAACAUGAGGAAAUCUGCAGAUGCUGGAAAUUCAAACAACACACACAAAAUGCUGGUAGAACACAGCAGGGGUUAGCGCUAACUUCGUCACGGGGAUCAUCGCGCAGAGGCGCUUCUCAGAAAUGGCGUGAGACUUAAGAAGAGCUUGCGAUCCUUCAGGAGAGUUUGCCUGGUUUGAAAACAUAACGGUCGAAGGCCAUAACAGUCCAUUAGAGAAACGGAGACUGUGAAGGUUGGAAUCCGUCUACGAAGUCCGAGAGGCAACCAGCUUUUUCACCAUAUGACUGAUUACUUAUGGCUUAUGACUAACUUUAUGACUAAUGACUAAGGACUAAGGACUAAUGACUGAUGGAACUAACGGAACUAUCAAACUGCCGCAAUUGCGAAAAAUAAAAGGAGAAAAAAAAGGUAAAGUUAUUUGGUCAUUGAGUGGAAUCUGGUUAAAAAACCUUCAGGUAGGCGCACUCAAUCUCCUUCAAGUGGGGAAGCUGCACAUGUUCAAAAAAUAACACGAACUCCGACCUGACAGACAAUCAACCAAUUAGAAAAAGACUAACUGCAAAUACAAGUAGAGAAAAAGAAAGCAAACAAACAACGGUACAAUGAGUCAGCCUGAUGUUUGGUGGUAGCUUUCCACUCAGCAUGAUAUUGACUCUGAGAGCAUGAACACAGAUAUGGAAGGGAGUCAGUCUGAAUUGGUAUUACACUCCAAGUAAACAGUCAGAACAUUCCAAAAGGCCUUCAGCCAAUCAUAGUAAGUAGAAGAAACACAAUAGAAUAAACAAGACUUCUCCAACAAGAUGGACAAACAACCAAUGUGAAAAGAAACAUAACAAAACUAUGUAAUUACAACAAGAAAGAGAAAAAAAAGAAUGAAUGAAUAAAUAAAUAAACAGAGAAUAUGAGAUAAAAUAUCCUUGGAAGUGAGCCCAUAGGUUGUGGGUACAGUUGAUUUCAGUGAUGAGGUAAGUGAAGUUAUUCCCUCUGGUCAAGAGCCUGAUGGUUGAGAAGUAAUAACUAUUCCUGAGUUUGCUUGUGUGGGUCCUGAGUCUCCUGCACCUUCUUGAUGGUAGCAGAGAGAAGAGAGCAUGGCUGGAUAAUUGGGUCCUUAAAGGUGGGUGCUGAUUUCCUGCAGCAGUGCUCAGUGUAGAUGUACUCAAUGGCAGGAAGAGCUUUACUCGUGAUAGAUUAGGCCGUAUCCACUAUAUUUUAUAGGCUUUUCCAUAUUGGUGUUUCCAUACCAGGCCAUGAUGCAACCAGUCAAUAUACUCUCCAACACACAUCUGUAGAGGUCUUUCAAAGUUUUAGAUGACAUGCCUAAUCUUCAUAAACUUUUAAGGAAAUAGAGGCAACACCAUGCUUUCUUUGUAAUGGCACUUACAUGUUGGAUCUAGGACAGAUCCUCUGAAAUGAUAACACAGAGGAAUUUAAGACUGCUGAGCCUGUCCACCUCUGAUCCCCCAGUGAGGACUGGCUCAUGGACCUCCAGUCUGCUCCUCCUCAAGUCAAUAAUCAGCUUCUUGGUCUUGCUUACAUUGAAAGAGAGGUUGUUGUUGUGGCCCCACUCAUCCAGAUUUUGAAUCUUCCUCCUAUAUGCUGAUUCAUCACCACAUUUGAUUCGGCCAAUGACAGUGGCACCAUCAGCAAACUUAAAUAUGACAUUGGAGCUGUGCUUAACCUCACAGUUAUAAGCGUAAAGUAAGUAGAGCAGGGGGCUAAGCACACAGACUUGUGGUCCACCUAAGCUGAUGGAGAUAGCGGUGGAGCUGACUGGGAUCUGUAAGUGAGGAAAGUGAGGAUCUAGUUGCACAAGGAGGUUUUGAGGCCAAGGUCUUGAAGCUUAUUGAUUAGUUUUGAGGGGAUGAUAUUAUUGAAUGCCAAAGAGUAGUUAAGGAAGAGCAUCAUGAAAUAUGCAUCUUUGCUGUGCAUAUGUUUCAGGAAUUAGUUAAGAGGCAGUAAAGUGGCAUCUGCCAUUGACCUUUUGUGGCAGUAAGCAAGUUGAAGCAGAUCCAAGUUGCUUCUCAGACAGGAGAUGAUAUGUUUCAUGUCCAACCUCUCAAAGCACUUCAUCACAAUGGAUGCAAGUGCUACUGGACAAUAGUGAUUAAGGCAGGUUACAAGAUUCUUCUUAGCACCAGUAUAAUUAAAGCUGCUUGAAGCAGGUGACUACCUCAGACUGCCAAAGUGAUAGAUUAAAGGUAUCGGUGAACACCCUUGCUAGUUGAUCAGCAAUGGUCUUUAGUAUCCGGCCAGGUACCCCAUCUGGGCCAGGUGCUUUCCAUGGGUUCACCCUCCUAUAGGAUGCUCUCAUGCUGGCCUCAAAGACUGAAAUCAUAGCAUCAUCAGGGGCUGUGGGAGUCCAAGAAGGUGCCUUCAUGUUUUUAUGGUCAAAGUGAGCAUGAAAGGCAUUCAACUUAUCUUAGAAUGAAGCCUUGUUGUCAACUAUGUCACUUGGUUUCACUUUGCAUUCAAGCCCUGCCACAACUGUCAAACAUCCUUUAGUGAUUCAAUUUGGUCCAGAAUUGCUACUUUACACAUGAGAUCACUUUCCAGAGAUCCACCUGGACCUCUUGUAUUUAAUAGCUGCCUGAUCUGAAUGCCACUGAUCUGACCCUCAGCAGACUGCAGAUCUCAUGGUUCAUCCAGGGCUUCUAGUUACGGAAGAAUCUGAAUGAUUUUUUGGGAACACACUUGACUACAAAUUUUUAUAAAGUCCAUGACAGCUGUGGUGUAUUUGUUUCGAUCCUCUGAUGAGUCCUUGAACAUAGCCAGUACAUCAACUCAAAGCAAUCCCACAGCCACUUCUCUGCCCCCUGUGACACCUCUCUUGUCCUUAUCUCUGGAGCCUUUCUCUUUAACUUCCCCCUGUAUGCAGGUGGGAGAGGGCCAGCUAAGUGAUCAGAUUUCACUAAAUGUGGUCUAGGCAUGGAAUGGUAGGCAUUCCUAACUGUAGUGCAAUAGUGGUCGAGAAUGUUGGGUCCCCUGGUGCUGCAAGUGAUAUGGUGAUGAUAAUUGGGCAGAGAUUUCUUCAAACAAGCCUGAGUGAAGACCUCAACAAUGAUUUGAAAGACAUCAGGGUAGGUUGUUUCUUGUUUGCUGACUAUGACAGUCUAUACCUUGAGUGCCUGCUUAACAUCAGCUUUUAGUGGUAUGUAAGCAUUGGUAAGGAUCACGGAGAAGAACUCUCUUGGGUAGUAGAAUGGUUGGCACUUAACUAUGAGAUGGUCCAGGUCAGGGGAACAAGAGUGCGACAAGACUACUGCAUCCAAACAUCACAAAGAGUUUAUCAUGAAACACAGACCCCUACCUUUUGCCUUCUCUGAAUCAGCAGUACUGUACGUUUGGUGUAUCGAGCAACCCUCCGAUCUUGUCAAUGUAUCUGGUGUGUCCAGAGUAAGCUAUGCAUCCAUGAAGCACAUCUCCUCAAUUCCUCAUUACCCUCUGACGCAGCAAUCUUGCCCUCAAUCUUGUUCUCCAACGAUUAUAUAUUUGCUAACAAGAUGUUGGGUAGAUGACAUUUCAUUCCUUGGCAUUUCAGUCCUCCCCUCCUUCCUCCCUUCUGGCUAUGGUGAUGUACCUUUGUCUACUUAAAGGUGCCAUACUUGCAGGCUUGAGAGUUAAGUCCACUGCGUCCUUCAGAAGUUCAUGAAAUCACUAGUUCAUUAAGGCAGUUCUAACGUAGGUUAUUUAAAGAGAAAUUACAGACUGCAGAUUGCAGUGAGAGUAGUUCCGAAGAAGUAUAUUUGGUUGCUUUGUAAGCUGCCUGCAGCACGUUGCUGUGGUUCAUCAGCACCCUCUUGUCUCCUUUAUACACGUGAACUGACAAAUGGCAAUAAAAUAUCUUGAAUUUUGGCAGCAAAAAAAACUACUGCUAGUUAUAAUGUUUUAUAGGCCCAUAUAGUUUUUCUUUCUGAAUAAUGCAAAGAGUGGAGAGAACAGAGAUUUGCAAGUGACAUUUCUGAAAGGUUUAUUACUUUUAAGACUAAGUUGCCCUCAAACUGGGACAAUAAUUAAGCAGAGUCUAUGUAGAGAAAAAUGUCUACCCUCUUUAGCAGUUCUGGCUGAAUUGAAUAAUUUCGGCCACUCACUUUCAGAAGACGGUUGGACGGUUACAUAGAUACGAGCCCAACACAGAAAAAUGGGACUAAUGCAAGGGAUGUGGGCCAAAUGCGGGUAAACAGGACUAGCUUUAAUGGGCAUCUUGGUUGGCAUGAAUCAGUGAGACUAAAGGGCCUUUUUUUGUUUUGUAUGACUCUAUGACAGCCAACAGGGUGGCUUUAUUUUAUUUGUUUCUCUGUUAUUCAUGUGCUAUAACAAAAUCACAGAUCUAGCAAGGUUAUAAUAUUGCACAUUAUUUCAAAAAUCAAAAGGCAAUCUUUUGCUUUCAAGCAAAGAAAUAUCAAGUUGAUAAGAGGGAAUAAUAAAUUAGCCAUAAUCAGACUGGAUGAGCCAAAUGGCCUAAUUCUGCUCCUAUGUCUUAUGAUCUUAAUGACGUCACAGUGUAAAAUGAAGCAGCCUCAAGCAAAUGUCACGGGGAAUAAUUCUGAAAUUUAGGAAAGGUCCUCAUUAUUGUGAGAAUGUAAUUGUUCCUUCCAAAGUUCAUAUUGGAUUCAAAGAAUAAUAAGGGGCCGAAGGUGGCCAAUCAGUCCAACAUGCUUUGUUUUUUGAGAAACCUAACAAACUGCAUCACUACAGGAAACUGCAAUGUGGUAGAUAAGGCUUUAUAACAGGUAGUCAAAACUACUCAAUGCAUCACCAGCAGCAGCCUAUCCACCAUCAAGGACAUAAAAAUGCUGGAAAUUGGGCAAUAACAUCAUGAAGGAUUCCACCCAUGCUGCUCACGGACUGUCUGUCCCAUUCCCAUCAGGGAGGAAACUAUGUAGCAUCCACGCCAGGACCAACAGACACAAAACUGUUACUUUCCCCAAGUAGUAAGGCUGAUCAAUUUCACCCACGAACCCACCCUCCAUGCCCCCAACUACCACUACUUCAUCAUUUCCUAUCAAUCAGACACUCCUUAGCCUAGCAUCACUUUAUGGACAUACAGUCAAUCUAUGUAUAUAAGCUAUCUUAUGUAUUUAUAUUUAUUGCAUGUUUUUAUUAUUAUUGUAUUCUUUAUCUUAUUGUG